rnacentral:rRNA from 1 species
GCCCCCCGAAUUGUAGUCUAGAAAGGCGCCAUCGGCCGCGCCCGCCGCUCAAAUCCCUUGGAACAGGGUAUCGGAGAAGGUGAGAAUCCUGUACCGUGGCGGUCCGCGGCCGCACGAUGCGCCCUUGCAGAGUCGGGUUGCUUGGGAUUGCAGCUUGAAGUGGGUGGUAAAUUCCAUCUAAAGCUAAAUAUUGGCUCAUGACCGAUAGCGAACAAGUACCGUGAGGGAAAGAUGCAAAGAACUUUGAAAAGAGAGUUAAAGAGUGCUUGAAAUCGGCGAGAGGAAACCCGUUUGUGCCCGGCUUCGCGUCGUCAAUUCAGCCGUUUCGCAUCGGUGCACUUUGGCGUCGCGGGUCAUCCGCGCUUCUGGUUGCGUGACACCCGCCUGGGGGGCUUCGGUGAGCCAGGUCGUCGACGCUACUGGGAGUCCGGCUGACGGAACGGGCACAACCGACCCGUCUAGAAACACGGACCAAGGAGUCUGACACGGAUGCGAGUACCCGGGUGGCAAGCCCGCGUGCGCAAUGAAAGUAAAGGGCGUGCCCCGCCAACCGACCUUGAUCUUCUGUGAAGGGUUUGAGUCGAGCAUCACUGUCGGGACCCGAAAGAUGGUGAACUAUGCCUGAGUAGGUUGAAGUCUGCUGAAAGGCAGAUGGAGGACCGUAGCGAUACUGACGUGCAAAUCGUUCGUCGAACUUGGGUAUAGGGGCGAAAGACUAAUCGAACCAUCUAGUAGCUGGUUCCUGCCGAAGUUUCCCUCAGGAUAGCUGGUGCUCGUAUACGAGUUUCAU